CCUGAGAAACCCGAAAGAUCGAAUGGGGAGAUUCAUCGUCAGCGAAUCCCGCGAGGGCCUCGAUACGCGAUGCCGGCGGCCUCGCGUCGCGGUGCACGCGUUCGGGUCCUCAACGCCGGGUCUCGUCGGCGUGCACUUCUCCCCUAGUAGGACGUCGCGACCCGUCGGGCGUCGGUCUACGGCCCGGGUGGGCGCCUGUCACGUGGAGAGUCUCCCUCGGGGGGCCUCGCGCGGCAGACCCCCGGUCGCCCGGCCAGCUGCCCGGCGGUACUCGCACGGUAUUGAGCCGCACACGAAAUCNANAUGCGUCCGGCCCGCCGCAAGCUUGGCCAGUGAGAUUAACCACGGAUGCCACGGACCUUGCGCCGUCACCGUGCCUGGCCGGCUGUUGGCCGGCGGUGCACUGGGACCGGCUCGAAGAUUGCAUUACCGGUCRGCGACGCUACUGCUUUGGGUACUUUCAGGACCCGUCUUGAAACACGGACCAAGGAGUCUAACAUGUGCGCGAGUCAUUGGGAUCUCGAAGCCCAGAGGCGCAAUGAAAGUGAAGGUCGGCCCCGCGCCGACGGAGGGAGGAUGGUCCGCGUUACGAUGCGGUCCCGCACUCCCGGGGCGUCUCGCUCUCA
rnacentral:rRNA from 1 species